AGCUCUUCCCACUGUGGUGAACUCUGGAUGCGAGUGACUGUGAAUCGCUGUGAUACAGUUCUGCUCUGCUUCUAAGGCUGGGCAGCACUCCCAUCUAGAUGCAGCAUUGUUACUAAUUUCAAACAAUAGUUCUGGCCUUUUAAAAAACAAAAACAAAAAAACAAAAAAACAAAAAACAAAAAACCAGGUCCUUGUAAUUCUAGUAACAGAGCAUCAGAGAUGUUAAACACAACAUAACUCAACGAGGCCACAAUGAGCGCCAUUUUCUUCUUAUCUCGUUCAUUAACAUAAUGAAGUCUCCAUCUGAGGGGAAAGGACAGGAAAGAAUUGGGCACAGGAGGAGCUUAGCAGUUAGCUUUUCCCCUGGGCUGACCUAAAAAUUCAAGUUAAAAAGAAAAAAAAAAUGUCAGAAAGUCUCUCUUUUGAGAACAGCAUCAGAUGUCGGAGUACACAUGAUGACCACAACUUAUCUCGACUCAGAAUGGUCCACCAGGUGUUAACAGUCCUGUUGGUUGCCAUCCCCGUGUCAUCUUCUAUAGACUAGUGACCAAGUGCGCGGGUCCUUUGGAAGUCCCCUCCGGAGAGGCCCCAUCUUUAUUGGGAGGAACUAUGAAUCCGUCGCUGCUGCCACGCCCCAGUUGGUAGUAGGCGUGUAGCGGGUGCACGUGGUUUCUGGAGCCCAGGUUUGGCAUGCUUUUGUAGUAAACAUCUUCGGCGUCACCACCCUUGGCCGCUGCGGCUUCGGUCUGGGUGCUGGUGGUCACACUGUCUGCAGCAGGCACGCCGGCCAAGGCCGGCAUGCUGGUGUACAGAGAGUCCCUGUGCGGUGACUGCAGGUCUUCUGUGUGCUCGUCGGUUAGCAGAGGGAAGAAGCUCUCGCUGUGGUCCUGGGGGAGCCGCCUCCUGCUGUAAUGGUGUGGCUGGUGGUUAUCCGUGGAGUAAACCCUCGGGGGCAGCAAGGGAGCGUCCGAUUCCUCGUGAAUGAGUUCCAGGCCUAGACUCUCCUCAUGGUUAAAGGAUGCGGCGUCAUCCAGGACUAUGGCGUCAUCUUCACUCCCACUGCCUAAGUUGUUCACCAGUUUGUUCAUCAUAUUCCGGUUCUGUUCGCUGGAGCGCUCGUGGUUGUUCAGGGCUCUAAACGACAGCAUGAAGAAAAGGAAAGAAAAACAACAAGUAAGCUUACAGCGACAGUAGGAGAAACAUGAGUCAAAAGCAAAUUGAUGAUAUGCAGAAAAAGGAGUCACGGGAAAUCAUUUCCACCGUCCCCCAAUUCAAGAGUUUGUGUUACAUGGUUUACCACAAUUCAAACACUAAAAUGUUAGUCAGAAAACAAGAGCCCUCCCGCUUAACACACACCAAAUAUAAUGAGACUUUAAUAAGUGUUGCAACAGCUCACAGAUUUCUUAUACACUCUUAUUACACUUCAACUUGUCACACAAACCAGAGAGUAAAAAGAGAGGGUGAGCUGUGACUAUUUCUACUGCUACACUUCGAUAGGAUACAGGUGUGAUGUUAGGAAGUACCAGCUUAUAAGGAACGACAUCCACUCUUAGAAUUAGUAAUGAAAUUAAAAAUAAAAUACAGAAAGAAAACUGGAAUUGAA